GUGUUACCUUUGGCAAUACAUGUACUCAAAUUGAAACGAUACAGAGAAGAUUAGCAUGGCCCCGCACAAGGAUGACGUCAUGAAUAUGUAGCGGUCUCAACAUGGGCUU